ACGUAGGGUGCAAGCGUUAAUCGGAAUUACUGGGCGUAAAGCGUGCGCAGGCGGUUGUGCAAGACAGAUAUGAAAUCCCCGGGCUCAACCUGGGAACUGCAUUUGUGACUGCACAGCUUGAGUGCGGCAGAGGGGGAUGGAAUUCCGCGUGUAGCAGUGAAAUGCGUAGAUAUGCGGAGGAACACCGAUGGCGAAGGCAAUCCCCUGGGCCUGCACUGA
rnacentral:rRNA from 1 species